GACGAACGCUGGCGGCGUGCCUAAUACAUGCAAGUCGAACGCAGUUGGACCGGGUGCGUAACACGUGGGUAACCUCCCAUCAGAGGGGAUAACACUUGGAAACAGGUGCUAAACCGAUACUGAUGUAUGGACUCGCGGUGCAUGAGCUAGUUGGUGAGGUAACGGCUCACCCAGGCCACGAUGCAUCGCCGACCGGAGAGGGUGAUCGGCCACACUGGGACUGAGACACGGCCCAGACUCCGACGGGAGGCAGCAGUAGGGAAUCUUCGGCAAUGGACGAAAGUCUGACCGAGCAACGCCGCGUGAGUGAAGAAGGUUUUCGGAUCGUAAAGCACUGUUGUUAGAGAAGCGGUAUCUAACCAGAAAGCAACGGCUAACUACGUGCCAGCAGCCGCGGUAAUUC
rnacentral:rRNA from 1 species